ensembl:lncRNA
CUUUCAUUUUGAAAGUAAUUGCUUUGGCACAUUUUUUAGAAUUUUUAUUAUGAAAAAUAGUUAAUGAAUUCACCAUUAUUGGAUAUAAUAGUUAAUAACUUUACUGUAACACACUGUACUUCCAUCAAAUUCAGUUCACACAUAACUGCUCUCCUGCUGGUUAUACGACAACUUUCAUUUUGAAAGUAAUUGCUUUGGCACAUUUUUUAGAAUUUUUAUUAUGAAAAAUAGGUAAUAAAUCACCAUUAUUGAACAUAAUAGUUAAUAACUUUAAUGUAACACACUGUACAUUCAUCAAAUUCAGUUCACACAUCACUGCUCUCCUGCUGGUUAUACUACAACUUUCAUUUUGAAAGUAAUUGCUUUGGCACAUUUUUUAGAAUUUUU